CGGCGUCUCUGGUAGUCUGGUCACACCCUUCGGAUCCUUGUUCGCUUCCGGCUUCCCUCGUUCUCUGCGUCCGCCCCUGCCGGGCCUUGUCUUCUCCCCCAAAUCAAUCCCUCGCCCACGGACCCAACCAAAUCCUCCUCCACCUCCUCCAUCUCCAGCCCCGUCCCUACCCAGCUCGUGUAACCUCCCGAUGUCCGGGGGCGGAGGCGGCGCAGGCGCGGGCUCGUCGUCCGGCGGCGGCGGCGGAGGUGGAGGGGGCGGCAGGGAGGGCGACUGGGACUGCGGCAGCUGCGGCAACCGGAACUACGCCUUCCGCUCGCUCUGCAACCGUUGCAAGCAGCCGCGCCUCCUCGUCGACCCUAACACCCCGCGCGACUCCAAGUGGCUACCCCGUGCCGGGGACUGGAUCUGCACCGGUUGCAGUAACAAUAAUUAUGCAUCCAGAAAGAACUGCAAAAAGUGUGGCCUAUCCAAGGAGGAAGCAGCAAUGCCAGCAUUGCAAAUGGCAGGGAUGGCUAUGCCAGCUUAUGCAACUUAUAUCGCAAGACUACAGAGCCUUGCUGCUUCUGCUUCUGCAUAUAAGAUGAACUUUGGGAUGGCUGCCAACUCACCUUUGCAGCAGCAACUACUUGCAAAUGCAAACUGGUCCUAUGGGAUGGCUGGUAGAUAUGGGAUGCAGUCUUCUGGUUGGCCACUUGGCAACAGCAGCCCAAAUCAGUUUCCAGGUGUUCCAAAGGAUUGGCGUAAUGGAGACUGGCUCUGCAGCUGUGGAUUUCAUAAUUAUUCAUCUCGUACUCAGUGCAAAGAGUGUGGUGCACCUAUACCAUCAGGCAUUCCCUCCACAACAAUGAAAGCUACGACAUCUGAUGCCUCUUCCACAUUAGGAACUAAGCGGUUAGCCUCAGAGGAGCUGGCAAACGACUGUGAUAAUAAAAGGCUAAAUCCAGGAAAUGACAAUUAUCCACUUUCAACAGCAGGUGCAAAUAAUUUGUUUUUGGGUAUUGAGCAAGGAGCUGGAAGCAGCAAUGGCCAGGCUGCUUUUUCGAAAUUUGACUAUGGGAGCUCAAUGUCAUUACCAUCUGGGCAGGGAAUGUCUGGUCUUAUCGUAAAAGGGGCAAAAUGGCGCGACGGGGACUGGUUGUGCAACAACUGCAACAACCACAACUACGCAUCUCGUGCGUUUUGCAACAGGUGCAAAACUCAGAAAGAAUCUGCAGUUCACCCUGGUGUGCUAUAGCUUGCUUUUGCUGGUUCAUAUUGUUGGACUCGUUUGUUGCAGGGUAUGUUGCUGCCUGUUCUAGCUGCUUCCUCAAGACUGCAGUUUGAGUUUUUUCGGUUCUGCUGGGUUUUUGCUGCUCUCAAAUGUUUGUCUCGAUAUUCCAUUAGUGCUUGUUGAAGUUCCCGAUUUAUUUAUGGUAUAAGCGCUUGAAUAAAAUAUCUCUGGAAAGUACUGGCCUACCGCCUACCAUCUGUUUUUUUCCAAAUAUUUUUAUUAGUUGUUGUACAAUGAGGCAAAUGGUGAUAUACUUAUGUUGUACUUUAUGAACUCUGUAGGAUUAGUGCACCAAAUUAAGGUUUUGUGGCCAUGUUUCAGUCGUCGGGUUGAAAAAGGGAACUAUACCAUGUCGUGCGUAUGGUUGUGGAAAACACUAUUUUGCAGCUGCAAUGGUUAGAGAUUUGAAAUAUGAGGGAAAAUAUGAGAUGAGCCUCAUGCUGUUGUGCAUCAUCGAUCAGACCACUAUAAGUAGGACUGGAAAUGGAUGUCUGGAGAUCCGAAUUAUUCGUAUUUGCUGAAACCGUUAAUAUGGAUAUCCGUAUCUUUAUUCGAUUUCAAUAUGGAUGUCAAAUGUAUACAUUCGAAUUUGAUUUAUAAUACUUUUCUCUAUCCGAUUCUA